rnacentral:lncRNA from 12 species
GGGGGGGGGGGGGGGGGGGGGGGGGGGGGGGGGGGGGGUUUUUUUUUUUUUUUUUUUUUUUUUUUUUUUAAGGAGUGGAUUUCCCUGGAAUGAGCUUUUCCUUCUCUCCUCCAACACCUUGCUGGGCUGCCUGCAUUGCCACCCUCACAGAGGCAUCUUACAACCAGGUUUUGUGUGCAAGGCUUGGGAAUAUCAGAUUUGCUGUAUCAAGGCAGCUUUUUCUUGCUGCUGAGGAGGUCAGAAGUGUUGAGGAAUAUACUUAGUGCAGGUACCUUGGUGUGCAAGCUGCAGGUUGUUCCCUGGACAGGGGGAAAUAUCUGGAGCUGCAGAACAGGAGCUGUGAACUGGUACUUAUAGUUUGCCUACCAAAGGACGUGGUGACCUGUGGCACAGCACAGCAGGGAGGUGGCUGAUCACCCAGAGACUCUGCAGGACCCGAUGAAGAGUGAGGAGACCCCAGGCUAAAUAUCACCAUUGGACCAAGAGGCACAUACAGCACAGACUGUGAGGAUGUAAAACCCCAGGGAUUGCUGUGUUCAGGUCCCUCCCUGGGAACACACAGCUUGACCUGUUGUCAUGUCACUGCACCAUGAUUAAAUUAGGAACCAGAGGUCUGGACUCUGUUAUGGUAAACAUGG